rnacentral:rRNA from 1 species
UACAGAGGGGGCAAGCGUUGUCCGGAUUUACUGGGCGUACAGCGCGCGCAGGCGGAGCUGGACGUGCCGUGUGACAAGCCACCGCUCACCGGUGGAGGGCCACGGUACACGACAGUUCUGGAGGCAGGGAGAGGGAUGUGGAAUUCCCGGUGUAGCGGUGAAAUGCGUAGAUAUCGAGAGGAACACCUGCGGCGAAGGCGGGUUGCUGGGCUGACACUGACGCUGAUGCGCGAAAGCCAGGGGAGCGAACGGG